UACGGGGGGGGCAAGCGUUGUUCGGAAUUACUGGGCGUAAAGGGCUCGUAGGUGGCCAACUAAGUCGGACGUGAAAGCCCUCGGCUCAACCGAGGAAUUGCGCUCCAAACUACCGUGCUUGAGGAAGCUAGAGGUGAGCAGAACUGAUGGUGGAGCGGUGAAAUGCGUUGAUAUCAUCAGGAAUACCGGAGGCGAAGGCGGCUACCUGGACAAUUGCUGACGCUCAGGCACGAAAGCGUGGGGAGCAAAAGGG
rnacentral:rRNA from 1 species